rnacentral:rRNA from 1 species
UACAGAGAGUGCAAGCGUUAAUCGGAAUUACUGGGCGUAAAGCGCACGUAGGUGGGUUAUUAAGUCAAGUGUGAAAGCCCCGGGCUCAACCUGGGAACUGCACUUGAUACUGGUAGCCUAGAGUAUAGUAGAGGGAAGUGGAAUUUCCGGUGUAGCGGUGAAAUGCGUAGAUAUCGGAAGGAACACCAGUGGCGAAGGCGGCUUCCUGGACUAAUACUGACACUGAGGUGCGAAAGCGUGGGGAGCAAAC